rnacentral:misc_RNA from 1 species
GUGAGUCAUCGAAUCUUUGAACGCACCUUGCGCUCCUUGGUAUUCCGAGGAGCAUGCCUGUUUGAGUGUCAUUAAAUUCUCAACCUCUCUAGUUUCUAGUAGAGGCUUGGAUUUGGGAGUAAUUUUUGCAGGCUUUUACAAGUCAGCUCUCCUUAAAUGUAUUAGCCGGUGCCCUCUAACCGUCUAUUAGUGUGAUAAUUAUCUACGCUGAAGACUUUUGGUGGUGCUGCUUAUAACCGUCCUCUGGACAAUUUAUGACAUUUUGACCUCAAAUCAGGUAGGACUACCCGCUGAACUUAAGCAUAUCAAUAAGCGGAGGA